rnacentral:rRNA from 1 species
UAUCUCUGUAGAGUCUGCAUAUCAAUAAGCGGAGGAAAAGAAACUAACAUAGGAUUCCCUCAGUAACGGCGAGUGAAGCGGGAAGAGCUCAAAUUUGAAAUCUUCAAGGUUUUACCUUGACGAAUUGUAGUUUAAAGAAGUGUUUUCUGUUGGAGUUUUGGUAAAAGUUCUUUGGAAUAGGACAUCAUAGAGGGUGAGAAUCCCGUAUUUGACCAUUGAUUUCCAGCGUUGUGAUACACUUUCAAAGAGUCGGAUUGUUUGGGAAUGCAGUCCAAAAUGGGUGGUAAAUUUCAUCUAAAGCUAAAUACUGGCGAGAGACCGAUAGCGAACAAGUACCGUGAGGGAAAGAUGAAAAGAACUUUGAAAAGAGAGUUAAACAGUACGUGAAAUUGUCAAAAGGGAAGCGUUUGACACCAGUGUUGUUUCUCUCGAAAAUCAAUUAAAAAUAAAUUUGAUUUUGUGUUGUAUUGACCUUAAUCAGCUUUCUUCACUUUUUUCAUUGUCUUUUUUAAUGCACUUUUCGUUUAACAAGUCAACAUCAAUUUCUUUUGUUGUAAAAGAGUCAUUGGAAGGUGGCUUUCUUUUCGGAGAAAGUGUUUAUAGCCUUUGACUUCUGCAAUCGGAGAGAUUGAGGUCUGCAGCGUAGAUCCUUCGGGGUUAGAUAGCAUUUGUGCUAAGUUAUAGCCUUUCAUAGACAACUUGUUGACUAUGAUCAGUCAUGUAGCUUACUCGCUUAUGCUAUUUUACCUACGCUUAGGAUGUUGAUCUCUCACAGUCGAGC